AAAAAACAAAACAAAACUGCUUUUAUUCCAGUCUGUCACUUAAGUAUUAAGUGACAAGGUGGCACCCUCCCCUGUAGGAACAGCUUGAGGGCAGGUGUCAGCUGCAGAAGUAAAGCCAGUGUGCUCACAUAGGGAGACUUUGCACUAUGCUUUGUUCUGAUUAUGUUAUAAAUACUCACCAAUUUAGGGACCAUUAUCAACCCUCCCACUUUUCAGCAAAGGAGACCGGCAGGGGGAGCUGAGAAGGGACAAGAGACUGGCUGGGGUCGCUGGUUAUAAGCAGGUUUCGUCAGAGUGCCACACUGCCCAUGUGUGUAAUUUAGGGCAGUACCUACUCUGGGGCCCUUGUCACAGCUCACCACUUACUACUCAGGAGCGGGAAGGGGGGUUGGGGGGCAUCGGAAGCCCGGGCUAAGAGAACACGGGUUAGGGCUGCAGGCUUCCUCUCGAAGCCCCCUUCUUCCUGCCUGUGUCCCCCCUGACUGGCCUCCUGGUAUCUGUUCUCUCUUUGGUGCAUUCAUUCUUUCCAGAUUUUUUUUUCAGCUCUCUUUCCACUUGUCACAAGGGAAUGUCUGCUGGGGCGGAAACAUCGCACAUGAGCUGAAGGAGAACACGCGGCGUGAGGCGCCCAGCAAGCCUCCAGUGUGGUGGCUGUCUUGUGGUUCCUGAGUUUCCUCCAAGGGAGAUCUGAUCUGUCGUAGCGCCCCGGCAGGGUUGGUGGAGACAUUCAUCACUUCCUCCCUCAACAAAAGUUGAGAAGAGAUACUCUUUUCCUCUCCUGGGCCAUUAGGUCCCUGUGCUGACUCCAAACAAGGGCUCCCUGGCUUCUUUCUGAGUCCCUGUCCCAGCCCCGUGGGCCACCCUGGCCAUCACACAGGGUGUAGCUGCCUUGUUCUCUCCAAGCUCUCUUUCCUAGUCUCCGCUGACCGUGCUGUGCUGGAGGUGGUGACCGUAUCCCCGAGAGACCCGUUCUGGAAGCGUGGUCCUCAUCCGUGUCGGCAUGUUAGGGAGUGCUGGAGCUCCACAGAAGCCCACCGCCUAGUGGGAAGGAAUUGGCCACUGAGGGCACUGCCCCUCACGUAGUGUUGCCAAGAGCCGGGGAGCCUCAUCCUCGUGCUCUCUGGCUUCCAUCUUGCCACACGAUUUCUCCCUUUCUCGGAUGUUCCUGGUGUUGCUCCCUUCGCUGUCGUGUGAUGGAUGUGUCCAGGAGCAGGGGCCGGCAGAGCCGUGUCAUGGUGAUUGGAUUUUCAGCCUCCCAAACCAAACCGUAGAGUCCUCACCUCGGCUGUUUGGUUACCGUAGUCAAGGAAUCUGUGUGCUCUGUGAAGGUUGGAGAAAGGGGUCUUUAAGAUAAACAGUUUUAAUCUCCGAAAUUGAGUGUUACAGCUCCGGCCACCCCUAAGUCGCUGUGAAGAGGAAGGUAGAGAAUCCCAUGUGGACCCUAAAGCUGUUAUCAGCUGUGUGACACUGGGUAAGGGGAUAACGCUGGUCCUCAGUUUCUGUUUACCUAUCAGCUGUGUGACACUGGGUAAGGGGAUAACGCUGGUCCUCAGUUUCUGUUUACCUUCACAGGACCGUUACAGCGCUAAGGGAGGGAAGGGCGGAAGGACCUGGUAAUGCCUGGAGGAGGAAGGACAGUCUCUUCUACCCUCGGAAGCUUUCCUGUGAACUGGACUGGUAAAAGCUAGAACAACAGGAGCCGUCCGGGCUGAGGGCUCAGGUGCACGUCAGGGCCUGGAUUACACAGCAUCUCAACAGAAACAGCACCUCUGGGUUUCCUCACACCAUGAGCCAGAAUUAACCCUUUCUGCUCUGAGGACAAACAGGAAGGAAAAACAGGAAUUGAAUCCCCUAGCUCGUAGUCAUGUGCUUCUGUUUCUCAGAGACUCGGUUACAGUGAAGAGCCUGUUGAAGAUGAAACCAGACCGCCUUCUGAAAAAGAGGUGAAAGCUGGCCUGAGACUAUAAAAGAAACCUUUGUUCAGACCAUUUGGAAAAUGAAAUUGUUGUAGUUAUUAAAAUAGCCUUUCUUCAAA